GGGAGGGGGCGGUAUAGCCCAGCUCAGUUCCGAGGUCGCGUUUCCACCGCCGACAGUACCCUUUAUGGACAAGAUGCUCAGGACCAACGAUCAUACAGGAUGAUACGACGCGACGUACUGUCUGGGCCAAGUACUUCAAGUGCUGGCAGCUCCACAUCCAAAACCCCAUCAGCACACCUGGUCUACCUUGAUGUUUGUAUAUUUCUGCAAUAAGGGCAUCAAUGUUGUAAUGCUUGAAAAAUAACCUUGUUAAGUUACCUGUAUUCUAUGUUCUCAUGAAUAGUUUUUUUUUGAAGUAAAACUCUUGAAAGUAGAUCAUAUAUGUGGCUAUAACCCAGACAGAGGCCGGAAGUUGUAUCGUGCACCUGACAAUGCUCUGAUGAUGCUGAUGCCUCCAUCGUGUCUGCAGCACUAAAUGAGGCAACAGAGUCCUCCUUUGAGGUGAGGGCUGAGGACACAUUCGUCCAGGUUAUGCUGGUCCAUCAUAGGGCAAACCACCCGGUCUUCCUCACGACAGCAAAAGAUACAUCUUAUGAUGUCGGAAAGAUUCGAGAGUGUAACCCUAACCCUAACCCUAACCCGGAGAGGUACCGUCAUACCUUAUAUUCCUACAUAGCUUCUCUGACUGUGAUACCGUAUCAGCAAUUUCUGGGUUUAACAAACCACCUUUGCUCAGCAAGCUCUGCAAGACUGACAAAUCAGAGCGGGCCAUGGAUGUGUUCAGUGUCAUCAGAGCCAAGAAAGUGACAUCAUCAAUGCUGGCUAUGAGGCACUUUCAGAUGCUGCUGUAAAAAGCAAGGAGUCAAAUGUAUUUAUUCUUGUGGGAUCUGUCAUGGUAACAGAACAUCAACCAGCCAGAUGAUAAUAGUAGUGAGGUAGAUGCAGGGGAGUUGGAUGAGGUUUGUUAAAACUACAACUGAUAACGCAAGUUUUGAUUUGUAAUUGUUCAAUAAAUAAUUUUUU
ensembl:lncRNA